GAGACCCACGCCAACAGUUGCUAGCUCGUCCUCCGGGAUGGAGGGGACACUGUUGGGACCGCCUCUGCUAAAGAGGAGGAAGGAAUGGGCAACGGUAGGUCAGCAUGCCCCGAAUUAUCUGGGCUACACGCGGGCUACAAUGGGUGGGACAAUGGGUAUCGACACCGAGAGGUGAAGGCAAUCUCCUAAACCCAUCCUUAGUUCGGAUUGUGGGCUGCAACUCGCCCACAUGAAGCUGGAAUCCGUAGUAAUCGUGUUUCAAAAUAGCACGGUGAAUAU
rnacentral:rRNA from 1 species